GAUGAACGCUGGCGGCGUGCCUAAUACAUGCAAGUCGUGCGGGAUUCUCAGGAAUCCAGCGGCGAACGGGUGAGUAACACGUGGGCAACCUGCCCCUAAGACUGGGAUAACUCCGAGAAAUCGGAGCUAAUACCAGAUAAUCUUUUUCCUCGCAUGAGGAAAAGUAAAAGGCUUCGGCCACUUAGGGAUGGGCCCGCGUCGCAUUAGCUAGUUGGUGAGGUAACGGCUCACCAAGGCGACGAUGCGUAGCCGACCUGAGAGGGUGAUCGGCCACACUGGGACUGAGACACGGCCCAGACUCCUACGGGAGGCAG
rnacentral:rRNA from 1 species